rnacentral:rRNA from 2 species
UGACCUCGGAUCAGGUAGGAAUACCCGCUGAACUUAAGCAUAUCAAAG